CGCGGGAUUAGAGUUUGAUCCUGGCUCAGAUUGAACGCUGGCGGCAGGCCUAACACAUGCAAGUCGAGCGGCAGCGACAACAAAGAUUCUUCGGAUGAUUUGUUGGGCGGCGAGCGGCGGACGGGUGAGUAAUGGCUGGGAACCUGCCCUGACGUGGGGGAUAACAGUUGGAAACGACUGAUAAUACCGCAUGAUGUCUUCGGACCAAAGAGGAGGACCUUCGGGCUUCUCGCGUCGGGAUGGGCCCAGUUGGGAUUAGCUAGUUGGUGAGGUAAUGGCUCACCAAGGCGACGAUCCCUAGCUGGUUUGAGAGGAUGAUCAGCCACACUGGAACUGAGACACGGUCCAGACUCCUACGGGAGGCGGCAGUGGGGAAUAUUGCACAAUGGGCGCAAGCCUGAUGCAGCCAUGCCGCGUGUGUGAAGAAGGCCUUCGGGUUGUAAAGCACUUUCAGCAGUGAGGAAGGGUAAUGAGUUAAUACCUCAUUAUCUUGACGUUAGCUGCAGAAGAAGCACCGGCUAACUCCGUGCCAGCAGCCGCGGUAAUACGGAGGGUGCGAGCGUUAAUCGGAAUUACUGGGCGUAAAGCGCAUGCAGGCGGUUUGUUAAGCAAGAUGUGAAAGCCCCGGGCUCAACCUGGGAACCGCAUUUUGAACUGGCAGGCUAGAGUCCUGUAGAGGGGGGUAGAAUUUCA
rnacentral:rRNA from 1 species